rnacentral:rRNA from 1 species
AUGGCUCAGAUUGAACGCUGGCGGCAGGCCUAAUACAUGCAAGUCGAACGGUAACAUAGGAAAAGCUUGCUUUUCCUGAUGACGAGUGGCGGACGGGUGAGUAAAGUUUGGGAAGCUACCUGAUAGAGGGGGACAACAGUUGGAAACGACUGCUAAUACCGCAUACAGCCUGAGGGUGAAAGCAGCGAUGCGCUAUCAGAUGCGCCCAAAUGGGAUUAGCUAGUAGGUGAGGUAAAGGCUCACCUAGGCGACGAUCUCUAGCUGGUCUGAGAGGAUGAUCAGCCACAUUGGGACUGAGACACGGCCCAGACUCCUAC